CUGACGUGGCGCGAUCUCAGCCGUUGUUCCGUUCAGGGCGCUGAGGCCCUCCCGCAGACCCACUUUUUAUCCAUGGGUCGUGAAAAGGCCCGCUCGGCCCGAUCUCCACCAAUCGCCACGCCCCCAAUCGCUCCCCAAUCCCUUCCUCUGCCCGUCUCCUCCCCAAUCCUCUCCCCUCGCGCCCGCAUCCCCGCCGCCGCACGCCUCUCUCCCUCUCCUUCUCUCCCCGCACCGCCCCUCUGCCUCCACACGUCCCUCUCCGGAACCAGCCGCCGCUCCCCAUGCCAUCUCCUCUCACUCCGCCGCCGCCUUUCGCGCCGCCGGCCGGUAGGAGUACCGCACCGCCGCCGCUCGUCCUGUUGUCGCCGGGAGGAGGGGCCGACGGUGGCGAGCGCGUUGUAGACGGACCUCCUCCGAUCUGCGGCCCUGUGAUUGGCCGCGAGCAGUUAUAGGUGAGACAAAAGAAGAGCUCCUUGCCAAACCCUACCGCAGCAUCUGUUCUCUCCUCUUCCCUCGCGCCCGCCCCCUCCCGCCGCCAUCUCGCGCGCCGCUCGCAUCGCCUGGAGCAGCACCACCCGCUGCUUGCGCCGCCAAGGUCCAGAGGUAGGCCACCGCCUCUGUUGAUUUUUCCAACGGCGCGCCUUCCCGCCCUCGUCCCCGUCGCAGCACGCCGCCGCGCUAUGGGAGGAGCGGUUCAGCUGGGCAUGAACUUGUGUGUGGUGGCAAGAGGAGGGCAGGGCGGCGGAUCAAGAUCCUUCUCUUCGGCGCUGGGAAGGAGUAGGCGCCGCCGGUCCCCACGUCUUCUCCGGCGGCACAGCAGCGCCGUCAUCUUCCCCUCAGAGAACAUGGCUCUGCAGACCGACGAGGAGGAGAAGGUCGUCGUCCUUGCCCUCCAUCUUUGCCUCCUCUUCAUCGUCUCUGAGGAUGUAGGCCACCAUCCUCCACUUCAUCCGGGACAUGCAGGUUUACCGUGUCUCUCUCUGGAUCCCGUUUCCUGUUUAAAUCAAUUUGGUGCAUUCCUGGCCACUGAUUCACAUGUACCAGAGUAUGUCUCAUCCCUGAUGCACCGCCGCAUUUGCCCCCAUAGGUCAAGUAGGCCUGGAAAUCCAACCACUCUUCUCCCUUCGGUGAGAUUUCGGCGAGGUAUAUGCGAUGUCCAAUCUUUUCGUCUCUGCAUUUUCAGUACAAUCUUUAGAACCUUCAGGAGAAUGUAUGUUGAUGUUUAGUACAAUACUAUCAAUAACUUGUUUUAUUUAUAGUAGUUUAACAGACCUGAUUCUCUCAUUGUUAGGCAUAUGAUUGGUUGUUUCACUAUACUUAUCUUAUCUGGCAAGGUGGAUGAGGGGCAGUAGCAGGGUACACUCAUAUGAGGUCUAGGAGGGGCGAGGCCACAGACCACCACAGCAUUGCAGAGAUGUGCUACUUCAUGUAGAUGAGGGAAAAUGAGCUGUGUCAAACACCUAGAAGGUCAUAGGGGACAGAGUGGUCGGUUGCACCCGUGCCAUUAGUACAUCAAUGAGGAUCUUUCUGAGAACAACGAGCUGAAGACAAUGUAGUUGUUACAUAUGUCUUCAUGGGGUUAGAUUUGUCUCAGUAGAUGAUAGGUUUGUGGUCCCUGUAACUAAACCUGAUUUUUCCUGCUUCAUGUCUAUAGGUUACAUAAUAGGAUCGAUGCUGUACAAAAUAUUUCACUUCUACGAAAAUCUACUGCUGCUGAGCUAAUUGAGCUGGAUAUCUGGAAACAUGAGGAAGGAGGACCACAGAAUCGUCGCUCGAUGAAGAAGGAGAAGAAUGAGCGCCGGUUGCAAACAGAGCUACAGUGUUGGUGCCCUCUGAUGUGCCGUCGCUGCCGCUCAGAGUCACCUCGCCUCCGCACCCGUUGCUAGUGCCUAGAAGCCUGAAGGAUUAUAACUACUGUACAAUAGAUGAAUAGACUGAAGAAGUAAUGUACUAAAUGUCUCCUACAACAGGUAAGCGAGAUAUGCGUACAUUAAACAGUUUAGCAAUUGAUUGGAUUGUUUCAUAGAUGAUAUAUAUUUAGAUUUUAACAAAGUUUGAUCUAUUUGAAAUUGGUUAAUAUUUUUAGAACAAUUGUAUUUAGGAAACAUAACAGGGGCAGCUCCAUGCAUACCUU